GGGACUGUGUGGACAGGCAAACACUUCAAACAAACAAAGACCACAACCGAAUGAAUGGCGGGUAAGUUUGUGACGAAGUGCGAAAAGAUGUGGGGGACUCCACUUGCUAGUUCUGUGUACACAAGUCCUAUCCCAGGCACCCUUACAAGUCCUAAACUGGGGCCAAGGCUAAGAAUCCAUGCCAUUGAAACCUUAGUGUGCAUCUCAAUUUCAUAACGUUUAGCUGUACCAUAAUGCCAAAUGUACAUGAUGAUGAAAAAUGCUGUUGCUAUAACCAAGGGGACCCACCCAC
rnacentral:misc_RNA from 1 species